rnacentral:rRNA from 1 species
AUUGAACGCUGGCGGCAUGCUUUACACAUGCAAGUCGAACGGUAACAGGCCGCAAGGUGCUGACGAGUGGCGAACGGGUGAGCAAUGCAUCGGAACGUGCCCAGUCGUGGGGGAUAACGCAGCGAAAGCUGCGCUAAUACCGCAUACGAUCUAUGGAUGAAAGCGGGGGACCGUAAGGCCUCGCGCGAUUGGAGCGGCCGAUGUCAGAUUAGGUAGUUGGUGGGGUAAAGGCUCACCAAGCCGACGAUCUGUAGCUGGUCUGAGAGGACGACCAGCCACACUGGGACUGAGACACGGCCCAGACUCCUACGGGAGGCAGCAGUGGGGAAUUUUGGACAAUGGGCGCAAGCCUGAUCCAGCAAUGCCGCGUGCAGGAAGAAGGCCUUCGGGUUGUAAACUGCUUUUGUACGGAACGAAACGGCUCUGGUUAAUACCUGGGGCUAAUGACGGUACCGUAAGAAUAAGCACCGGCUAACUACGUGCCAGCCGCCGCCGUAAGAC